CCUACGGGUGGCUGCAGUGGGGAAUAUUGCACAAUGGGGGAAACCCUGAUGCAGCGACGCCGCGUGAGUGAAGAAGUAAUUCGUUACGUAAAGCUCUAUCAGCAGGGAAGAAAAGGACGGUACCUGAGUAAGAAGCCACGGCUAACUACGUGGCAGCAGCCGCGGUAAUACGUAGGGGGCAAGCGUUAUCCGGAUUGACUGGGUGUAAAGGGAGCGUAGACGGUGCGCCAAGUCGGGAGUGAUAUGCCGCCGCUUAACUGCGGAACUGCUUUGGAAACGGGCGAACUAGAGUGCGGGAGGGGUCAGCGGUAUUCCUCGUGUAGCGGUUACAUGCGUAGUUAUUAGGCGGCACCCCGGUGGCGAAGGCGGCUUACUGGACCGUAACUGACGUUGUGGCUCGAACGCGUGGGGAGCAAACAGGAUUAGCUACCCUUGUAGUC
rnacentral:rRNA from 1 species